rnacentral:rRNA from 1 species
GUGAGGAAGGUAGGGGAGUGACGUCAAAUACAGACACGGCCCUUACGUCCGGGGCGACACACGUGUUACAAUGGGUGGUACAAAGGGCAGCUACCUGGCGACAGGAUGCUAAUCUCCAAAACCACUCUCAGUUCGGAUCGGAGUCUGCAACUCGACUCCGUGAAGCUGGAUUCGCUAGUAAUCGCGCAUCAGCCACGGCGCGGUGAAUACGUUCCCGGGCCUU